rfam:Loxodonta africana unplaced genomic scaffold scaffold_1, whole genome shotgun sequence.
GCAGUGGUGGUUCAGUGGUAGAAUUCUCUUCUUCCAUGCAGGAGACCUAAGUUCAAUUCCCAGCCAAUGCA